UAAAGUGGCGAACGGCUGAGUAACACGUGGGCAACCUGCCCUUUGCACUGGGAUAGCCUCGGGAAACCGAGGUUAAUACCGGAUACUCCAUAUUUGUCGCAUGGCGAAUAUGGGAAAAGCUCCGGCGGCAAAGGAUGGGCCCGCGGCCUGUUAGCUAGUUGGUGGGGUAGUGGCCUACCAAGGCAAUGAUGGGUAGCCGGGUUGAGAGACCGACCGGCCAGAUUGGGACUGAGACACGGCCCAGACUCCUACGGGAGGCAGCAGGA
rnacentral:rRNA from 1 species